rnacentral:rRNA from 1 species
UGGGGAAUAUUGCGCAAUGGGCGAAAGCCUGACGCAGCGACGCCGCGUGAGGGAUGAAGGUUUUCGGAUCGUAAACCUCUGUCAGAAGGGAAGAAACCGCACUGUGCUAAUCAGCAGUGCCUUGACGGUACCUUCAAAGGAAGCACCGGCUAACUCCGUGCCAGCAGCCGCGGUAAUACGGAGGGUGCAAGCGUUAAUCGGAAUUACUGGGCGUAAAGCGCACGUAGGCUGCUUUGUAAGUCAGGGGUGAAAUCCCACGGCUCAACCGUGGAACUGCCUUUGAUACUGCUUAGCUUGAAUCCGGGAGAGGGUGGCGGAAUUCCAGGUGUAGGAGUGAAAUCCGUAGAUAUCUGGGGGAACAUCAGUGGCGAAGGCGGCCACCUGGACCGGUAUUGACGCUGAGGUGCGAAAGCGUGGGGAGCAAACAGG